UUUUUAUUGAGAGUUUGAUCCUGGCUCAGGACGAACGCUGGCGGUAUGCUUAACACAUGCAAGUCGAACGAGAAAGUUUUGAAUGAUCCUUCGGGUGAAAUUAGAACUGGAAAGUGGCGAACGGGUGAGUAACGCGUGGGUAACCUGCCCUAUGGAAAGGAAUAGCCUCG
rnacentral:rRNA from 1 species